rnacentral:rRNA from 1 species
UGGGGAAUAUUGGACAAUGGGCGCAAGCCUGAUCCAGCCAUGCCGCGUGAGUGAUGAAGGCCCUAGGGUUGUAAAGCUCUUUUGUGCGGGAAGAUAAUGACGGUACCGCAAGAAUAAGCCCCGGCUAACUUCGUGCCAGCAGCCGCGGUAAUACGAAGGGGGCUAGCGUUGCUCGGAAUCACUGGGCGUAAAGGGUGCGUAGGCGGGUCUUUAAGUCAGAGGUGAAAGCCUGGAGCUCAACUCCAGAACUGCCUUUGAUACUGAGGAUCUCGAGUUCGGGAGAGGUGAGUGGAACUGCGAGUGUAGAGGUGAAAUUCGUAGAUAUUCGCAAGAACACCAGUGGCGAAGGCGGCUCACUGGCCCGAUACUGACGCUGAGGCACGAAAGCGUGGGGAGCAAACA